AUUGAACGCUGGCGGCAGGCCUAACACAUGCAAGUCGAACGAGUGGCGGACGGGUGAGUAAUGUCUGGAACACUGCCUGAUGGAGGGGGAAAACUACUGGAAACGGUAGCUAAUACCGCAUACACUCGGAUGUGCCCAGAUGGGUUGAGCUUGUAGGUGUGGUAAAGGCUCACCUAGGCGAUGAUCCCUAGAUGGUCAGAGAGGAUGACCAGCCACACUGGAAUUGAGACACGGUCCAGACUCCUACGGGAGGCAGCAGUGGGGAAUAUUGCACAAGGGGCGCAAGCCUGAUGCAGCCAUGCCGCGUGUAUGAAGAAGGCCUUCGGGUUGUAAAGUACUUUCAGCGGGGAGGCGUUACCCGCAGAAGAAGCACCGGCUAACUCCGUGCCAGCAGCCGCGGUAAUAC
rnacentral:rRNA from 1 species